rnacentral:lncRNA from 1 species
UGAACACUUGGCCCACUCUGACUUUCUUACUAAAAUCUUAGAUGCAGCUGUUAUCCCUUUGAACUCUCACCCCAUUUCGCAUUAACCAGAAGGGUGCUUUGUAUACAUAGGGGCUCCGUUUCUGAUGGCUUGAAUCUCAGCAAAUUGAAAAUGCAGCACCCUAAAACUGACUUUAAACCUUGAGGUUUUAGGUUGUAACUGGAGAGUCUGAUGAAAGAAAGUAAGGAAAAGUCUGGACCCCACUUGAUCUAUUCAGCCCACUUGGCCUUCUUAUUAGAUAGUCUGAUGGUCUAAUAAAAAAAAGGAUACCUUCUGGGUAUUUUCCAGAAGAGGAACAGAAGGCUGCCCACAUGCAUUGAGUGCUGAGAACAGGCCAGGGACCUCCCUGUGCUGAUG